rnacentral:rRNA from 1 species
AUGAACGCUAGCUACAGGCUUAACACAUGCAAGUCGAGGGGCAGCAUGGUCUUAGCUUGCUAAGGCCGAUGGCGACCGGCGCACGGGUGAGUAACACGUAUCCAACCUGCCGUCUACUCUUGGACAGCCUUCUGAAAGGAAGAUUAAUACAAGAUGGCAUCAUGAGUCCACAUGUUCACAUGAUUAAAGGUAUUCCGGUAGACAAUGGGGAUGCGUUCCAUUAGAUAGUAGGCGGGGUAACGGCCCACCUAGUCUUCGAUGGAUAGGGGUUCUGAGAGGAAGGUCCCCCACAUUGGAACUGAGACACGGUCCAAACUCCUACGGGAGGCAGCAGUGAGGAAUAUUGGUCAAUGGGCGAGAGCCUGAACCAGCCAAGUAGCGUGAAGGAUGACUGCCCUAUGGGUUGUAAACUUCUUUUAUAAAGGAAUAAAGUCGGGUAUGCAUACCCGUUUGCAUGUACUUUAUGAAUAAGGAUCGGCUAACUCCGUGCCAGCAGCCGCGGUAAUACGGAGGAUCCGAGCGUUAUCCGGAUUUAUUGGGUUUAAAGGGAGCGUAGAUGGAUGUUUAAGUCAGUUGUGAAAGUUUGCGGCUCAACCGUAAAAUUGCAGUUGAUACUGGAUAUCUUGAGUGCAGUUGAGGCAGGCGGAAUUCGUGGUGUAGCGGUGAAAUGCUUAGAUAUCACGAAGAACUCCGAUUGCGAAGGCAGCCUGCUAAGCUGCAACUGACAUUGAGGCUCGAAAGUGUGGGUAUCAAACAGGAUUAGAUACCCUGGUAGUCCACACGGUAAACGAUGAAUACUCGCUGUUUGCGAUAUACAGCAAGCGGCCAAGCGAAAGCGUUAAGUAUUCCACCUGGGGAGUACGCCGGCAACGGUGAAACUCAAAGGAAUUGACGGGGGCCCGCACAAGCGGAGGAACAUGUGGUUUAAUUCGAUGAUACGCGAGGAACCUUACCCGGGCUUAAAUUGCAGAUGAAUUACGGUGAAAGCCGUAAGCCGCAAGGCAUCUGUGAAGGUGCUGCAUGGUUGUCGUCAGCUCGUGCCGUGAGGUGUCGGCUUAAGUGCCAUAACGAGCGCAACCCUUGUUGUCAGUUACUAACAGGUUCUGCUGAGGACUCUGACAAGACUGCCAUCGUAAGAUGUGAGGAAGGUGGGGAUGACGUCAAAUCAGCACGGCCCUUACGUCCGGGGCUACACACGUGUUACAAUGGGGGGUACAGAGGGCCGCUACCACGCGAGUGGAUGCCAAUCCCAAAAACCUCUCUCAGUUCGGACUGGAGUCUGCAACCCGACUCCACGAAGCUGGAUUCGCUAGUAAUCGCGCAUCAGCCACGGCGCGGUGAAUACGUUCCCGGGCCUUGUACACACCGCCCGUCAAGCCAUGGGAGCCGGGGGUACCUGAAGUGCGUAACCGCGAGGAGCGCCCUAGGGUAAAACUGGUGACUGGGGCU